rnacentral:lncRNA from 1 species
AUGGAUUGAAAACAAAUACCAAACCUUGAGAGGUUUGAAUAUCUUUUAUUUCUCUUUAUUUACCAUGUUUUCUAAAUUAUCUAUGUUAAAUUUUAUCAUGUAUGAGUUUAUGUUCAUACUCUUGGAUUAUCUUUUCUAUCUGAAUGUUAAUUCAUUAUUCUAGUUGAUAUAUCUUUUAGGGGCUUUGAAUUUCAUUCUUUAUUUAGCUUAAUCCAUGUUAGUUAUUUUUGUUCUUCCUAGACAAGCGUUUAUUAUAGGAACUCAAGCGGUAUAACUAGUUCAUAGUUAGGUUCUUGUCUUUCUCUAGUUUAAAUCCUAAUCUCCUUUUUUUUUUAUUCCGUAUAUUUUUGCAUUAUCCAUGUUUUCGAUACGAUUCUAUAUCAUCUUAGUAUAAGAGUGGAGGUUUUGGAUUGUUGUAUCAAUCCUUGGGUCUUUGUUUUGUUAUCAUCAUAUCUGAAAAUCAAAAAAAAGAAAAAAACAGAAAAUCGAAAAUUUCCAAAAAUAGAAAGUUUACUGUUCACCGUAUUUGUUCUUCAUUGUUUAGUGUUUCUGUGCUUGAUAUAUGAUGCCGAAAAUUUUGAAAUUCGUAAAAAUUAGUUGAAAUCGAUAGUUUAAGCUGAUUUUUAGCUGAAAAUUAGAAGUUCUGAAGGGAGUAUUAUUCCACACAAUUGUCGCACCUCGAAGGAAGUCUGGUUUGCUUUGAAUCUGAAAAUUGGGUGUUCAAAAUCAAUUGGGAGUUUGUGAUUCUAGUUGGAAACAUCAUUUUGAAGCUGAAUCUGAAGGAUUAGCUCGAUUGAAACUGAUUCAGUAGGGUUUUGGUUCAAAUUUGUGAAGCGGGUUGUCGGAAAGACGACCUAGGGUUCGUCCUUUUUGCGAGUGUUUGAACUAAUUGAUUUGGGGGUUUUGUUCUAAUUGGCGUUGAGAGGUGUAAUCUGUAGCUGGGGUUCGUUUGCGACUGUAAUCUGUUUGAAGAAGACGAACUGGGCGUUGUCGAUUUUCUAGUUGCUUGUUACAAAUUUGGUUACUGGGGUUUGAACUUAAGGAUGUUGGGAAGUCAUAGGUGAAAUUUUAGCUCAUUUGGUGGAGGAUUGAGCGAGAAUCAAAUUCCCUGCCAUGAAGAACUCGAUUGACACCAGUUGCAAAUUCGAAGAACUUCACGUACUGAUUCGAAUCGAUUCGAGCAGCUGAGAAAUCGUCGCACGAAUCAGGCGGGAAGAUUUUGGUUCCAGAAAUUGCGUGUUUAGAAGUUGUCAAUGCCGGUCUGAUUAGUUUCAAAUUAUUGAGCUUAUUUGCUGAAUUGAAAGCCCCUUUUUGGUUCCAUUCUGCUCAGUUAUCACUACAUUUGGAUAGUCUCUUAUGUUUGAACUGGAAAAAAAUCAACUUUGAUCUGAUGAGAAUCCAUUUGAAAGUUCAAGAUAGAGCGUUACUGUUGUUGUAUUCGGAAUUGUCAGGUGUACUGAGUUUGUAACAAUUUCUGCACAGUGGAGAAAAAAAUUCUACACAACUUUAAGACUAUAUUUUAGCUUUGGAGCAGUUUUGAUUAGCUCAGUUGCUCACUACACUUUCACACUAGUUUUGUAGCAGUUUCGUGCCAAUUUUCUACUAGUUUUAAAUCAGUUAUAGCAGUAUUUUGACAGCCACUACUAGUCUGAUUUCUGCCCAACAAUCUUCAGCUUUGGUUCCAUUUUAGCCAAGGUUUUUGGGCACCAGUUUGCACAAAUUAUAAUUUCAGUUCAUCUGCAAUUUUAGACUGAAUUUUGCAUUUUGGAUUUCUGUCCAGUGUGAGCAAUCUGCAACUCCUUCAACAGUUGCUUCAGUUUUGGGACUGUUGAAUAACUGGAAUUUGUUGUUAGUGAAGUUUGGAACUCUUUGCUGCUAGUGAGUCUAAAACUGGAUUGAGGAACUCCGUAACCGUGGUUGAGUGAAGUGAACAGUUGUAUUUACUGUCAAUUUGCCCAGAAAAUUGCAGAAAAACUGAAAUUCUAAAAUUAAUAGUUGCUGUAGUUUGAGAAAGUCUACUGUGAGUUUGUGAGCGAAAGUUGAGAUUGAAAUCUGAAAUCUCUUAUUGAAUUAGCAAAGCUAGUAUUUGAUGCAAGUGUCAGUUCUUGAUCAGUGUUUGAGCAGUAUUUUAGAGCAGUACCUUUGAGUUGCAAUUCUGCUGAAGUUGAAGCUGCAAUUUCUGCCAAGUGUGAGCAGUUACUUCUGCACUAUUGCUGGAAACUUUGAGCUGAAAAUCAACCUGGUAUUUGCCAAUUUUCUGCUGAAUUGCUUGGUAGUUGUUGAACCUCAACUGUGAGCUGCGACGUUAAGUGAGAAGUGACUGAAACUUGAUCUGAUGAAGUUUGCCACUAUUUCUGGAAAAUUUCUCAGUCUGCACAAUUCAGUUGAACAGUUGAAGUUGAGGCCAGAAUAGUUCUGCACGGGAUUACAGAUUUGGCCAUUCUUUGCAAAAAUGACCAGUUUUACAAAAAUGACAGUUUUGCGAAUAUGACCAAAAUUUUAUAAGUGUCUAGUUUGGUAACUUCUUUUCUUUUCUUUCUUCCAAUUUGUAGUAAACUAAACUCUUAACUAGAUUAACUUAAUAUUAGUUCAUAUUGAGUUUAAUUCUAGUUUCUUUGCGUGCUUUGUUUUUUUCGUGCCAAUUUUUCGUGCUUUUCUCUUUUAUUAUCGUUGUGAAUUGUUUGGCUCAAGUCCGUUUGCUUUUAGUUGUGUUUGGUGUAGCAUAAAUUCCAUUCCAAACCGAUACUUGAUUACCUACUUGGAUUGAUUAGAGAAUAUUGGUUGUGAAGAGAAUUUUUAGAUACCCUUGUGUGGAAAAAGGCUUGAGUGGUGAGUUCAAUUAAGCAAGGUGGCAAAAGCCUUUGACCUUUGAGUGUAAACACAAGUGUUGAGUGACAUAUAUAUUGAGUGAAACACUAAGGGAGUGAAUUGUGAGGUCCUAUUUUUGACUAACCAACUUUCUUAUUUUAAGUUUUCUUUUGUGGGUACAAGGAGUCAUAAGGGAGGUAUGGAUAGUUAUGUCGGUUCUUCUUAUGAAACUAAUUGUGUUUCUCCAAGUGUUGAAAUCUUUUAUGAUGAAAGUGAGAGAAAGCUAAAUUUGAGGCAUUAUGUAGCGAAUGUAGAAGGCUACGAGGGUUGUUUGGUUGCUAUAAGUAAUCACUAUGUGACAAACUUCAUUGCUUCGUCAUUUGUUGAAUGGUUGGGAUUGAGUUGUGUUCAAAGGGAAUCGCCUUAUGAAUUUAGUGGUGAAUUGGUGGAUACAGGAGUGAUGGUUACUAUAACUAAAGGAGACUUUAAAGAAGUGGUUUGGUGUAAUGUAUACCCUAUGAAGUAUUGCCAUGUACGAUUGUGAAAACCUUUAUUUCUUGAUCUUAAUCUUCCAAUUGAUGUAAAGUGGAAUAUGUAUGUGAUUGAUUUAAAUGGAAGGGGGCAUUCUUUCAUUCCUAAAUACUUUGAGGAUAAGUUGGUGGCAAAGCAAGAUAUUGGAUAUGGAGUUUGGAGUGCAAAUCAAUUCACAAGUCAUUCUCCUAGUCCAAGGGGAGAUUAUGAUGCUUAUACUAUGCAAAGCCAAGUUGUCUUUUGAUGCCUGUUACAAUGCAUCUUACACUUAUCCACUACCCAACUACUAACACCAACUACAACCCCCAACCACACUUCAACCACCACAAGUACUUCAACUACUACAUUAUCAACCUUCACUACAACCUAGAUCACCACUAACUCUACCUCCACAACAUAUACCUCAAGUACCACCAAGGAGGGACAAUCUCCCCCAUCCACCACCCAUACCACCUCAAGAGCCUCGAAUGAUUAACAACCCACUUUUUUAACAUGAUCAUGAGACCACCUUGAAUGAGUUAGACAACAUUCAACAAAUUUUCAAUGACAGAUAUAGGGGGGUGAAGUGAACCAAAGGGGAAGAGGCUAAAUGAGUUUGAGAACAUUCUUGAAAAAUGCAAAGAGAAAAAGUAAGGAUGAGAAAUAAAAGAAAUAGAGAAGUGAGGGAGAGAAAAGUGACAACUCUAGAGUGAAAAAAGGAGAGAAAAUGUGGAGUGAAGUGAGUGAGUUGUCACAAGACAAGAGUGAAGAGCUUGAAAAGAAAAUGCGAGAAAAGAAAGAGGAAAAAUAACAAGAGAGGAUACUCGGGGAUUAAAGUUUAUUUUUGACCCCGGAGUUGUUUCUUAGUGUGGUAAAGAGUCUUUCUUUUGGAGAGUAUGCUUUCUAUUGCUUCUUAUGACACUUGGUUAUACCAUAAAAGUAUGCACUUUGUUGAGAAUUUUACAAGAUUGUGGUGUUGUUGGAAGCGUGGAACUUUACUCUCUCUUGAUUCAUCUCAUGGAUAUUAUUUUUCUUAUAGUCAAGUUUGUGCCACUUGUAUUGAAGAUGUAUUAUUUCUAGAUUAUGACACUUGGCUAUAUCAUAAGAGUGUUACUUUUGAGUGCAAGAUUGAGAACUUUGAUUUUUUAGCUUGGAUAUACAAUGCUUUGAUUGUGAUUGGCUUGAUACUUAGAUGUGCCCCUUUCUUGGUUUUGCAAGGUCCAAAUUCGAGGACGAAUUUCUUUCAAGGGGGGAGGAUGAUACAUGCCAGAUGAGCACACUUAACAAGGAUAAUUUUUAAUUCAACAUCAUAGCAUUAGAGUGCUUCAAAGGAGUCAAGAUUAAGAAGGCAGUAUUAAUAAUUUAGCUAUUUAGGCUAGUCUUAUAAAGUUAAGGGUAUUUUGGUUAUUUAGCCUAAAUAGCACUUUAGUAUAAAUAGUCCCUUCCUCUCAUUUUGAAAGGGAGCUUUUGAUGAUGG